CUACGGGAGGCAGCAGUGAGGAAUAUUGGUCAAUGGGAGAGAUCCUGAACCAGCCAAGCCGCGUGAGGGAAGACGGCCCUAUGGGUUGUAAACCUCUUUUGUCGGAGAACAAAACCCGGGACGUGUCCCGGACUGCGUGUAUCCGAAGAAAAAGCAUCGGCUAACUCCGUGCCAGCAGCCGCGGUAAUACGGAGGAUGCGAGCGUUAUCCGGAUUUAUUGGGUUUAAAGGGUGCGUAGGCGGUCCGUUAAGUCAGCGGUAAAAUUGCGGGGCUCAACCCCGUCGAGCCGUUGAAACUGGCAGACUUGAGUUGGCGAGAAGUACGCGGAAUGCGCGGUGUAGCGGUGAAAUGCAUAGAUAUCGCGCAGAACUCCGAUUGCGAAGGCAGCGUACCGGCGCCAGACUGACGCUGAGGCACGAAAGCGUGGGGAUCGAACAGGAUUAGAUACCCUGGUAGUCCACGCAGUAAACGAUGAAUGCUGGUUGUCCGGGUCGAAUGAGACCUGG
rnacentral:rRNA from 1 species